GAAAUGCGAUAAGUAGUGUGAAUUGCAGAAUUCAGUGAAUCAUCGAAUCUUUGAACGCACAUUGCGCCCUUUGGUAUUCCAAAGGGCAUGCCUGUUCGAGCGUCAUUUGUACCCUCAAGCUUUGCUUGGUGUUGGGCGUCUUGUCUCUAGCUUUGCUGGAGACUCGCCUUAAAGUAAUUGGCAGCCGACCUACUGGUUUCGGAGCGCAGCACAAGUCGCACUCUCUAUCAGCAAAGGUCUAGCAUCCAUUAAGCCUUUUUUCAACUUUUGACCUCGGAUCAGGUAGGGAUACCCGCUGAACUUAAGC
rnacentral:misc_RNA from 1 species